rnacentral:rRNA from 1 species
UACAUAGGGUCCAAGCGUUGUCCGGAAUUAUUGGGCGUAAAGGGCAUGUAGGCGGCGAUCUAAGUCAGAAUUUAAAAACAGAAGCUUAACUUCUGUAUGGUUCUGAGACUGGAUUGCUAGAGGUUGGGAGAGGAAAGUGGAAUUAACAGUGUAGCGGUGAAAUGCGUAGAUAUUGUUAAGAACACCCGUGGCGAAGGCGGCUUUCUGGACCAAACCUGACGCUGAGGUGCGAGAGCGUGGGGAGC